CGGGAAGUUGUGCUGGGAGUGCCGCGAGUACCGAGCCGAGCCGAGCCCGCCGCCGAUCCCGCCAUGUCGGGCUCCUCCAACGUGGCGGCCAUGAAGAAGGUGGUGCAGCAGCUGCGCCUAGAGGCGAGUGUGACCCGCGUGAAGGUUUCUCAAGCUGCAGCUGACUUGAAGCAGUUUUGCCUGCAGAAUGCACAGCAUGAUCCCCUACUGACAGGGGUAUCAUCAAGUACAAAUCCAUUCAGACCCCAGAAAGUUUGUUCAUUUUUGUAAUACGUGAACUGCUUCAGUUUCUUUCAGUGGUUCAUUAGUACUACUGCUAUCACCAGGAAGACUACUCACUCAUCUGGCAUUUUGGUGACUAGAUUUUAGGCUAACCUCUUUAGAAAGAUCUUUUAGCAUCUUUUCCUACCUGCUGAUGUGUGUAUGGGCAGAGUGCCUCAAGGAGCGGCCUGGUUUGAAGUCUGUACAAAAGCUUAGCUUUAACGUGCCAAAUCUAACUCUAAAAGUGCUACUGUCGUCAAACUUCUUACCAUCUACCUCUCCAGAUGAACUGUAUGCUAGUUACGUGUUUCUGUUUCAUAUGGGAAUCAGUUUUAUAUGCCAAGCAAAAAAUAAAAGUGUCUUGACUUAGUCUGGUCUUGAAAUUACUGUAAGAAUUUUAUUAACUUCUGGGUAUGGUGACACCUCACAGUCAGUGCCUCACGCUGUAGCAGCUGGAGAGCAGAGAGAGGAGCUGUAAAUAUUCUCUGCUGCUGCAAGUCUGCCUGGGGUUAACAGUACUUCAGAACAAUGAGGCUCCAGCAGUACCAUACUUAGAAGCAUAACAGAAAUAGAACAGGAAAAAUUUUUGGACUGUUUAUAAUUCAGCUAUACAGCUGUGCCAUAUCCUAGACAUCAUAUCAAGACAGUAAAUUACUCUUUAUCUUAAUUCUAUCUUAGGAGAUAACUUACUCUAUGUGCCUUCUUAUUCAUUAGGUAAAUAUGAAAAAGCACUUAACAGCUGUGUAUGAAAAGAAAGUAGCUCAAAGCAAACCUGACCUUUUAGCUGCCACACAAUGUGCCAACUUAGGGAAAAAGUUUAUGUGCAGAUAAUACUAAUUUGAGUGUUACUAUGAGGCUGAAGAAGCAUUUUUAAAAUUUUAAUGGGGAAAACCCUGCUCAGGGACCUCACACAGUCACUGAGCAGCAUUUUUAGGUGGUAGCUUUAUGUAGUUCCUGUACGGGGGUUUUGUGAAUUCUUUCCCAUCUGUCUUUGCUUCCUUUCAACUGCUUUGGGUAUACAGACUUAUUGUAAAUGUGACAUUUACAGAAGAGAUACCUGUAGGAGUUAUGCAUAUUGUUUUUGUUAACUUCAGCAACAUGCCUAUGUUAUGCAAAAUGCUAAUGAAAUAAAGUAACAUGGAUUUCA